UACAGAGGUCUCAAGCGUUGUUCGGAUUCAUUGGGCGUAAAGGGCGCGUAGGCGGCGGGGUAAGUCUGGUGUGAAAUCUCGGAGCUCAACUCCGAAAUUGCACUGGAUACUGCUCUGCUUGAGGGUUGGAGAGGAGAUCGGAAUUCACGGUGUAGCAGUGAAAUGCGUAGAUAUCGUGAGGAAGACCAGUGGCGAAGGCGGAUCUCUGGACAAAUCCUGACGCUGAUGCGCGAAGGCUAGGGGAGCAAACGGG
rnacentral:rRNA from 1 species